CAGCCGCCACGGGAAUACGAAGGGUGCAAGCGUUACUCGGAAUUACUGGGCGUAAAGCGUGUGUAGGCGGUUUGUUAAGUCUGUUGUGAAAUCCCCGGGCUCAACCUGGGAAUGGCAAUGGAUACUGGCAAGCUAGAGUGUGUCAGAGGAUGGUGGAAUUCCCGGUGUAGCAGUGAAAUGCGUAGAGAUCGGGAGGAACAUCAGUGGCGAAGGCGACUAUCUGGGCCAACACUGACACUGAGGCACGAAAGCGUGGGGAGCAAACAGGAUUAGAUACCCCUGUAGUCCCUGUCUCUUAUAC
rnacentral:rRNA from 1 species